AUUGAACGCUGGCGGCAGGCCUAACACAUGCAAGUCGAACGGUAACAGGAAACGACUUGCUGUUUCGCUGUGGCGUGGCGGGCGGGGGAGAGAUGUACAGGGAACUCUCUGUUGUAGGGGGGUAUCUACUGGAAACGGUAACUCAAACAGCAUAACGUCGCAAGGGCAAAGAGCGGGACCCUCUGGCAUCUUGCGCUCUGAUAUGACCAGAUGGGAUUAGCUUGUUGGGGGGGUAACGGCGCACCAAGGCGACGAUCCCUAGCUGGUCUGAGAGGAUGAGCAGCCACACUGGAACUGAGACACGGUCCAGACUCCUACGGGAGGCAGCAGUGGGGAAUAUUGGACAAUGGGCGCAAGCCUGAUGCAGCCAUGCCGCGUGUAUGAAGAAGGCCUUCGGGUUGUAAAGUACUUUUGGCGGGGAGGAAGGGAGUAAAGUUAAUACCUUGGCUCAUUGACGGUACCCGCAGAAGAAGCACCGGCUAACUCCGUG
rnacentral:rRNA from 1 species